rnacentral:rRNA from 1 species
GACGAACGCUGGCGGCGCGCCUAACACAUGCAAGUCGAACGAGCGAGAGAGAGCUUGCUUUCUCGAGCGAGUGGCGAACGGGUGAGUAACGCGUGAGGAACCUGCCUCAAAGAGGGGGACAACAGUUGGAAACGACUGCUAAUACCGCAUAAGCCCACGGUGCCGCAUGGUACAGAGGGAAAAGGAGCAAUCCGCUUUGAGAUGGCCUCGCGUCCGAUUAGCUAGUUGGUGAGGUAACGGCCCACCAAGGCGACGAUCGGUAGCCGGACUGAGAGGUUGAACGGCCACAUUGGGACUGAGACACGGCCCAGACUCCUACGGGAGGCAGCAGUGGGGAAUAUUGCACAAUGGGGGAAACCCUGAUGCAGCGACACCGCGUGGAGGAAGAAGGUCUUCGGAUUGUAAACUCCUGUUGUUGGGGAAGAUAAUGACGGUACCCAACAAGGAAGUGACGGCUAACUACGUGCCAGCAGCCGCGGUAAAACGUAGGUCACAAGCGUUGUCCGGAAUUACUGGGUGUAAAGGGAGCGCAGGCGGGAAGACAAGUUGGAAGUGAAAUCUAUGGGCUCAACCCAUAAACUGCUUUCAAAACUGUUUUUCUUGAGUAGUGCAGAGGUAGGCGGAAUUCCCGGUGUAGCGGUGGAAUGCGUAGAUAUCGGGAGGAACACCGGUGGCGAAGGCGGCCUACUGGGCACCAACUGACGCUGAGGCUCGAAAGUGUGGGUAGCAAACAGGAUUAGA